rnacentral:tRNA from 1 species
GGGGAUGUGGCUUAGCAGUAAAGCGCACGCCUCUCGUGUGUGAGACCAUGGGUUCGAUCCUCAGCACCA